AAAAAAAACAGGGUACAGACACAAGCAGACCGAGGUGUUGACAAGGGAAUAAAAGAGCAGGACCUUUACUAUCCUUCUGAGGUGGAACUGGUGUGGAGAUCCUGGAGAACUUAGAAUGAAGACCCACCUUAUCCUCAUCCUCUGUAUGAUCUCAGUGACUUAUGUCCAAACCCAAGAUGUUGAAUCCUCCAUGUGGCCAUCAUCUGCUUCUACAGCACCACCAGACCAUAAUGUCUCUUCUGCAGUUGUUUCAGGUGUACCUGUGUAUAUCUCAGUCAGUGUGGGUUUAGUCUUCUUGGCUACUGGUGUAAUUACAAUCAUCUGCUAUAAAUUCAAGUCCAAAGGUUCAGAAACAAUGGCACAAUGUUCAACAGAUUUCUCCUUGAUCUUCUUCUCACCAUGCGGGAACGACACUUCUUCCUGCUCCUGUUCUCAGGAGUGCUGAGCUUCGGAACCUUAUGUACAGCACUGAAUGAAACCAGCCUUGCACAACAGGACUGUAUUGCUACUGAUGACUCCACCUCAGACUUCCUGAUGUGUGUGGGUGUCCCAUCAGACCCUGGGGCAGUAGAGCAGCAGAUCCUCAACCUGAAGGGCCUGAUUGAUGAUCUGCUUGAUGUCUUCGUGUUUAUGAACUCGGGAUUGAAUGGUGUCCCGUUGCUGAACGUGUCUGCAGAAUGGAGCAUCAACUCCACAGGUCUGCUGCAAAAUGAUGACAUCAUCCGGGCGUGGCUGCAGAUUAGGCUGUCUCCACUGCUCUCCUCCAUCUCUCAGAACUUCCUCACCUGCCUCGGCUACAACAACUUCAGCUGCCAGACUUACCAGACUGUGGUGCAGGAGCUGAGUCAGCAGUUCUCCAGUUUAGAUAGUCAGCGGCAGCAGUGGAUCUACUCGUACUUCAUGCAGCCCUUCCUGUCCAGAAGCUCACCGGCAGGUUGUAUGCUCCCUGGUGACUCCACUGAGGACUGGCUCACAAAGAACUUUGGUUCCUUCUCAAUUCUGGCCCAACUCCAAGACUUCAGCUCUGUCAAUGCACUCUUCAAUGGGCUGGAUGUACUGCACUUGUUGAGUCCAGUGCAGAAAGCACAGCUCAUGCUGUAUCCUGAGACAGUCGGUCUGAACAACGAAUCCCUCAGUGUGGUUCUGGGCAGCCUGAUGAGUUCACUAACACCCUCUGGAGGAGAUGUGAACAUGUCCAGUGAUACCAUGUGGAAUGCAGGAUUUCCUGUUAUGUACUCAUCCACUCCACAAGACCCACUCACACAGACGGUGAAUGACUUCAUGACUGCUUUUAGACCUGUUGGGAGUUUUGUCAGAGAAUUUGUGUCUCUCACACAUCAGCAAGACCUGAGCAACAUGAAGAGUGUGACACUGAUUCAGGCGAUGCUAAACUGGACAUUGGCAGAGCUCGCAGCUCCGUAUAAAAACAUCAGCGAUAAUCAGCAGAUGGAUCAGAUGAUGUUUGAUCCUACAGAUGUUAACUCCUGGUUUACGCACGUCGUUGUUCCAGUACUGAACAGAUACCUCCCCAGUGACAUACCAGAUGACCUCACUGCUGUCUUUCAUAAUGUGUUUUAUAUGGAGAAUUCAGUGAACAAUACUCUGGACACUUGCAGUGUCACUCUGGAUGACGCGUGUGCUGUGACUAAUGUGAUGGAGAAUGUGGCAAAAAUCCUGCAGUGUGUGGAGAGCACUAAUCUGAUGCUCACAGGGGAAACAGUCAACAGUCUCGUACUGCACCUCUCCAGCAACCUCAACACACUUCUGAACCAGCUUGCCCACACAAACUUUAGUUCAGCAGAUUCCCCUUUUAGAAACAUUCUAGAACGGAUCCAUGACCCAGCACACGCUGACCUGACGGACACGGCGUUUGUCACCUUGUGGUUUCAUAUCAAACUCAAGCCUCUCUUACCCAGUCUGAUGCCUGAGUACCUGCUCUGCCUCAGUGCCAAACCGUUUAGCUGUCAAACGUUCCAGAUACUUGUGUGGGAGAUGAGCAACAACAUGUUUCCCACAGCAGAGAACAGAACUCGUAUGGUUUAUGAGGACUUCAUCAUCCCGUUCCUGCUCCAGCAGAACUCCACAGGUGCCUGCAUGGGUAACAGCAGUUUAGAGUGGAUCGUGAUGAACCUGGGUGGAUUCUCUCAGUUUGCCACUGUGCAGGAGAUGUACCUGCUGAAUCCUAGGUUUGAUGCUAUGGAGGCUUUCAACGCUCUCACUCUCAACCAAAUGGCUGAGAUCAUCGUUGAAGACCUGCCUCAAUUUCCAGAUAAAAAGCAGCUCAUUGACAUGGUGUUCAGCAACAUACUGACAUCACUGACGAUGAGACAGCAACUUCCUCAGCUCGUCCUCCUCGUCUCAGAGAUGAACACGAUGAAAAGUAACUGUAUGAUCUAUCAGGAAAUGUUUUUGUGGCUCCACUUUGCUUCUCUGUCCACAAACCCAGAAACAG
ensembl:lncRNA